AUUGAACGCUGGCGGCAGGCCUAACACAUGCAAGUCGAACGGUAACAGGAAGCAGCUUGCUGCUUUGCUGACGAGUGGCGGACGGGUGAGUAAUGUCUGGGAAACUGCCCGAUGGAGGGGGAUAACUACUGGAAACGGUAGCUAAUACCGCAUAACGUCGCAAGACCAAAGAGGGGGACCUUAGGGCCUCUUGCCAUCGGAUGUGCCCAGAUGGGAUUAGCUAGUAGGUGGGGUAACGGCUCACCUAGGCGACGAUCCCUAGCUGGUCUGAGAGGAGGACCAGCCACACUGGAACUGAGACACGGUCCAGACUCCUACGGGAGGCAGCAGUGGGGAAUAUUGCACAAUGGGCGCAAGCCUGAUGCAGCCAUGCCGCGUGUAUGAAGAAGGCAUUCGGGUUGUAAAGUACUUUCAGCGGGGAGGAAGGGAGUAAAGUUAAUACCUUUGCUCAUUGACGUUACCCGCAGAAGAAGCACCGGCUAACUCCGUG
rnacentral:rRNA from 1 species